GGGAGUUAGUAUAAAGAGAGGAAGCUCAGAGUAGAGCGGGACUGCAGGGAGGAAAGCUACAGGUACUGGCUUGGCCUAGAAAGUGGAGAGACUGAUAAGGGUCAAGGAUGAAACCCAGGGUGAAAGUUGGCCCUGAGAUCCUUUCCUGAGUAGGGAAGGGUGGUAAGAGGCCAGAAGAGGCACAGAGCAGCCACUGGAGCAGAUACCAGUGGUGAAGCACCCUAAUCAAAGGGCAGGAUCAGGACUUUCAGGGAGACAGCCCCAGAAGGUGUUUGGCGAGGAACUUAAGAGUCAUGAUAGGUGAAGCCUCGAGACGACAGAAGUUGGGUUAGAUUGUACUUCUGGUUUGAGAUUUAUUGCAGGAUUUCAGGGAACAGCCUGGCCCUGAAAGAAGGGUGAACUUUGAGAGGUGUGGGAGAAGCCUGCUGACAGGCCAUGGUGGAAGAUGUCCAGGGAAGCAGUAGCAAGGAGUCUGAUGGAGCAGACCUUGAUUGCUGGUUAAUGGGUCCCUGGACUGGAACCCAGUGUAGGGAGGCCCUGAGUUCCCCACCUGCUACUGCUGAUGAUUGAGUAUCAAACUCCUCCACUGAGAUUUCUCCAUGGAGACAUUGGGUUUUCCUGGCAGGGAAGGCUGCAAACUACUCAGCGGAAUGUCUAUAGCUCCGCAGUUCAAGAGGAGCCAGGAGGCCUGGCAUCUCAGCCAAGGGAAACACUGCCUUAGUCCCAAGAAUGCGCUCAUGGAGCCUGAGGUGCACACUGGAUUAGGAGGCGACUGACUGGGUUGUUGGUUAUUCCCCCCCCCACUAAAAUCUAAAGUGCAGAGAAGACAAAUCCGCAGAUGAGAAAUCUGGAAAUCCUAAUGGAUGUGGGGGACUGUGGUUUGAUGGUGGAUUCUUUGAUUUCUGCUACGUUGGGUUUGUGCAGGAUGUGUAAAAACACACACACACAGAGGCAGAGCAUAACUUGGCAAGCGAGCGUUUUCAUGGCAAAGCACCGGGAAAUGGGAGUUCCCUUCUCAACAGGGAGGAGACGGGCAAUGAAGCAAAGGUGGGAAUCAGACCCAGCUGGAGUCUCAGUGGAACUAUGGCCUGGGCAGCUAUUACACAAAUAAUCUCCGGGAGCUGUAAGCUCCUGCUCAUUGGUGACACAGACAGCGCAGUAGAAAAACAGACUUAAAUCGCUUCUUGUUCAUGGUAUCUGUAGUGUAAAAAUGGUCUUAGUCCAAGCCCUUGUGGUUGCAGUACCCUGACACCUCAUAAAUUAUCUGCAAGGCGCUACCAAGCUUCCAAAGGAUGAAACUUGAUGCUGAGGUCAGCAUGAUUUUUCUUGCAUCUCCUCCAGGGGAGGAGCCUUUUCAUUCCGGGGAAAACCACUGCAAAGAAGAAGCAGAAAGAAGAGGGAAUGUUUCUUAGAAUUAGAGCCUGUGUUCAGGGGGACAAAGCUUUUUCUAUUUUCCUCUGGCCACCGCUCUGCUCACACAUCAUCAGAGCAGGGUGGAUCGUGGAAGGCACCGAAGCCAGGUGGCACUUAGUGUCAGUUCCAAACCCCAGGGGGUUCUCCUGCAUGUUAUUUCAGAUAAUUUCCCUAAGACUCGGGUCCUGGGUGGCGCUGAGGAGCAUCUUCAACUCUCACUGACUUUUUGGCAGAAGGAUCUGCACAGUGGGAGUAAGGAGCUGUGUGUGCUGAGCACCUUGGAGGAUCAAUGCUUUUCAGACAAAGCAGAGCAGAGGAUGAGAUGAAGUUCUGGAAAACGAUGCUGGGCUUAGGUCCCUGCCUGUAGUUUCCAGAGACCAGAGCACAGCAUCCCAGGAAAUAGUUUAUGGUCUCUAUUGUCUUGUAUCUCCAAGUAUCCUGCUGGCUUUUUUAAACUGCUGUUGCAUUGUCACUGCCAAGGGUCUAGAGCGUCCAUUGGGUGG